rnacentral:rRNA from 1 species
CAGUAGCCGCGGGAAUACGUAGGGUGCAAGCGUUAAUCGGAAUUACUGGGCGUAAAGCGUGCGCAGGCGGUUGUGUAAGACAGGUGUGAAAUCCCCGGGCUUAACCUGGGAAUUGCAUUUGUGACUGCACGACUAGAGUGUGUCAGAGGGGGGUGGAAUUCCACGUGUAGCAGUGAAAUGCGUAGAUAUGUGGAGGAACACCAAUGGCGAAGGCAGCCCCCUGGGAUAACACUGACGCUCAUGCACGAAAGCGUGGGGAGCAAACAGGAUUAGAUACCCCAGUAGUCCCUGUCUCUUAUAC